CUUAAAGGGAAACGACUUUGGACUCACGUAGGCAUAGGAGAAUGAAACUUCUGUACAUUUUAAUCUGAAUAAUUCUUCAGGAUUUAAAAUUAAUUGGCUCUGGCUUGGUUGGACCGUACUCGGAUCUCGCCACCUCUGCGUUUCCCGAGCCACUGGCGAAGAGGUCCCAGUUCCUCUGGGAAUCGUCUUGUAUGCAACAUCUUCACAAGGGUGGCAGGCAGUUGAAUCUCUGGCCUUCGUGGGACCACUGGACAUCUGGCAGAGAACCAGGAAACCAUGGAUCCCUUCUGUGAGUCCACUCAGCCAGAAAACUACAAGAAUGAAAAAAAUGCAUGGCAUACAUCACCAAGAAUCAAAGGUUGUGCCUGGCAGUGUGACUGACUCUGUAAUAAAGAGAGAAGCUUUGCUAGCUCCUGAUGCAGCUGCUGUCUGCAGACCCCCUGGACUGCCUGGGGAAGUGAGUUGGAGCUCCUGCAGCAGAGGGGUGGAACAGCUACAUGAAGAUCCGAAGGUGGCCAAAAAUAACAGCGCUUUCCAGAUGAGGGAGCCAGUUGUCCAGCACAGUGUAAUGGGAUGGUGGGCCCUGGUGCCACAAUGCCCGGCAUCUCUGAGAUCUUCAUGAUGAAGCUUGCUCCAAUCCAAGGCUUUGAGGUGGGGUUUGCUGUUCAACUGCUAACCUUUCUUUGAUCCAAAUCCUGUCUUCAAGAAUCCUGUCUUCACUGGCUUCAAAACUGGGAUGAAGGAGGCUCCUUAGUGGAGAGCAAACCAAAGAGAAACUCAAAUUGGAUUCAUAUUAAAGAAGAGAAGGAUGGAUUUUUUAGACAACACAAACCCAGGAAGGGUUUGAGGGGUGAAACAAACUGGGUUAUGGAUGAACAGCGGGUAAUUGGAACAUAGAAUUGAAAGAGUAGUUAACAUCUUGGUUUCAUCUGGGUGUUCGGCAUCAUGUUCAGAAAUGAGAAAGAUAAAAUUCAGCACUGUUAUUACUGAAUUAGAUAAAAUGAUUGUAUUUAAUUAAUCUGUAAAUAUUAACUAAUUAUUCUGUUUACCAUAACAUGUAAUGAAUAUAAUUCUCCACCAGGCAAAUAAAGAAAGAAAGAUGUCAUUAGAUGAUUUAAG